AACACACAAAAACAAUCCAAAAGGAAAAAACCAGAAACACCAUCUACAGGUAAAGAACAGGGUGGAGGCAGUGCUGAUGGAAGAGCAUAUACAAAGACAUAAAUGACAGUCUUGUGAUAAUCAGCAUAAUUUCACCUCCUGAAUUUGAAUGAAUUAUGGGACAUAACCAAGAUCAGACUGUAGACAUCUAAGAUUGAAGGCCAUGGCCUGGAUCCUAAAGAACUCACCAGGGCAAAUAAACCCUGUGAGAUGGUCCUGCAGCAGCCAAUCAAUGCUCUUUUGUGCCACCCAGUCCCUGCUGUGUAACUUUGAGUUUCUAUAAAUCCAUUAAGGUCCCAAUAAAUUUUGUGUCUCAUUGCUCUCUUAGUUCUAUAUGACUACUAGCUAAUAAACUGAAUUUUUAGUAAAUGUUUUGUAAUAACUCCAAAUACAAAAUACUACUAAAAUUGGUGUCAAAAUAUAACUUUUUUUCCUACAAA